rnacentral:lncRNA from 1 species
AGCCCAACAAAGCCAACCCCAAAGCCCUUCUCCCUUCUCUCCAUGCAGAACCUCCCCAAAGGCCUCACCAUCUCAAAACCAGCCAACAACUCAAACCUACCGUCUUCACUCGCUGGCAGCGCCAUUGCUGGAGCUAUCUUCUCAACCUUGAGCUCAUGUGACCCCGCCUUAGCUGCACAACAGAUUGCUGAAAUAGCUGAAGGAGACAACCGUGGGCUAGCUCUAUUGCUUCCCAUAAUCCCAGCGAUCGCUUGGGUCCUCUUCAACAUCCUCCAGCCAGCACUUAACCAGCUGAACCGAAUGAGGAGCUCCAAAGGGGUUAUCAUAGGGCUAGGGCUCGGAGGAUUGGCUGCAUCAGGGUUCAUGUCAAC